AGAACGAACGCUGGCGGCAUGCCUAACACAUGCAAGUCGAACGCGUGUAGCGAUACACGAGUGGCGGACGGGUGAGUAACGCGUGGGAACCUGCCCUGGAGUGUGGGAUAACCGAGGGAAACUUCGGCUAAUACCGCAUACGACCUGAGGGUGAAAGAUUUAUCGCUCUAGGAGGGGCCCGCGUCGGAUUAGCUAGUUGGUGGGGUAAAGGCCUACCAAAGCAGUGAUCCGUAGCUGGUCUGAGAGGAUGAUCAGCCACACUGGGACUGAGACACGGCCCAGACUCCUACGGGAGGCAGCAGUGGGGAAUAUUGGACAAUGGGGGCAACCCUGAUCCAGCAAUGCCGCGUGAGUGAUGAAGGCCUUAGGGUUGUAAAGCUCUUUCGCGCGCGACGAUGAUGACGGUAGCGCGAGAAGAGCCCCGGCUAACUUCGUGCCAGCAGCCGC
rnacentral:rRNA from 1 species